ACAGAGGUGCCAAGCGUUAGGCGGAAUCACUGGGCUUAAAGCGUGUGUAGGCGGAUCGUUAAGUGCCUUGUGAAAUCCCACGGCUUAACCGUGGAACUGCUUGGUAUACUGGGUGUCUUGAGUCUCUCAGGGGCGAGCGGAACAAAUGGUGGAGCGGUGAAAUGCGUAGAUAUCAUUUGGAACGCCAAUGGUGAAAACAGCUCGCUGGGGGUGCACUGACACUGAGACACGAAAGCCAGGGGAGCGAACGGGA
rnacentral:rRNA from 1 species